UCAGUCAUCCAGCGGAUGUUAGCAUGACGCCUCCUGUGUGCCAGGCACCGCAUACAUGCUGGGCACCCAGCACAGCAUCUGCUCUCGUGAGGCCUGAGUCUGCAGAGGGGAAAGUGGUUUUGAGAGUGAGGAGUGUUUCAGGUUCCUUAGGAUUGACAGGCGCUCAGAGUGUCUCCAGAAACCCCUAGACUCUGGACAGGCUUCGGACGCUGGUGCUCUGGGAUCUGCUGUUUCUUUGGUGACUGUGUCCCUUCACCAUCGCUUGGCCAUCCUGUGCCAAGCACUGGGGGCCCAGCCUCAGGUGGCCUUGCCUGUGAGCUUCAGAGCAGCCGGACACAGUACAGAAGCCGGAAGGAAAAGAAGGGCUGGCCAAGGGCAGGCUGUGAGGUGGCAUCGGGGCUGGGCUGGGGCUGGGGCCCAUGUCUUCGGAGCCCCUACCUGGUGCUGGCAGCCUCUGCCGCACCUGUUGGAGGUCACACCACUCGAGACAAGCUUCCUCCAUCCUUCCUGCUGUGGCAUGGGCUCCGAGUGCCACCUCCAGAUCUCACUGUGGAUUCUAACUUUGUCCCCCUCCUGAGCGGGUCAGGUAGGACCACUGACAGUCUCAACACGCACACAGACAAGUUGGAGAAAGGUGAAGAAGGUAUGGGGCCGCUUGAGCAGAGGACAACCAUCAUCCCAGGAACUCUGGGUGACUGAACACCUACUCCUCCAGUCACUGAUAUUCUGAGAGUGCUUACCACUUACCAGCUGCGGGCUUCCAUGAGCCUCUGAGCCCCACGCCUCAUCUCCACACCUGCACCAAUUGCUGAUAAUGGCCCCCUUGCGCCGGGUGCUGCUCUGGGCCAGGUACGCAGCCUGAAGCCAGGCCGGAGAUUACAAGCCUCAUGCUGAUGCCCAUAAGGACCCCAGAGCCUGCACCCAGCUGGAGCCGCCCCAGCUAAACCCCAAAUCCCAGACAGCUAAUUGAGACCCUCUUGUCUGGGAAAGGGGAAGCUACAGAGGCUUCCAAUCCCAUUGUGCCUCAUGGGAAAAGAAGUGAAUGGCAUGCAUUCUUGGGGUGCUAAGGACAUGGGGACAGUGACUGGGACCAGAUUGAAGCAACAAAUGUUUCCAGAAGCUAUUUUGUGUUCUUUAUCUAUUUGUUUGUUGGCAUUAUACUACCAAAACAAACAGCAUUUUACGACCAUUUGUUGGGUGCUUAUCCUGAGCCAGGCUGAGCCUUUACUCUCUUGACCUAGUCAGUCCUCAUUCAACCUUGGAAGAGGGGACAUGGGGCUCAGAGACAGGAAGAGUCUCACCUGAGGUCA